ACUGGAGAGAAAACACAGAAGUUGGUGGUCUUUGCAGCAGCGAGGAGUGCGACUCCUCCUCUUCCUGUGUGGAACCUGGAAUUCAAACGGCUGGCCUUUAAUAAUUAAGUAAGGUAUACUCCUGUGAUCAAGACUUUGAGCAUAUUUGUUUCUCUCUGCCUGGUUCCUCUAGAAAUUGGAAACUAUCAGAACACAGACAAACUCCAUUUCCCAAUCCCUUUGCAAUCUGCAUUGAACCAUGAAUCAAGUUCUUGAUAAAGGAGUGAAAAUGGAUGACAUUUAAGGCACAUCUGAAGAUGGGGAAACCACAGCACAGAAAAAGGCUGGGCCCUUGAAUCAAUAAAUGAGGGAGAACUACUCAAGAGAACAAAACCACCAGCAAUAUCCACCUGUAUUUGUCUUUUCAUAAUGUGUGACACAUGUGCUCAUGGAUUAUUGUCCAAAUCAAGUCAUGUGACCAAGCCUAACAUCAACUGGGUGAAGAGCUAUAUGUUCCUUUCUCAAGAGGCACUACAAGUGACAUGCCAAUGG
rnacentral:lncRNA from 1 species